UGACGAGCGAAACGAUCCGCCGAGCCGCGCGCUCAAAAAUACGCCGACGAAAAGGAAUAAAAAAAGAAGUGGUCUCCCGCGACUCCCGACGCGGGUGCGUCGCACCACCCCGCAUCGUGCUGCGCCGCGUCUUGUCAUGGCGAAAAUGCCCGAAUCGAGCAUCGGAAUUUUAACUUGAAACUCUUGCCGCCGAUUUGCCCCAUUACACUCCCUUUGCACUCCCCGUAUUAUUUCGCGCAGCAAAAAAUUUGUAAUUUUGGAGGCAUCUCUCGUGUGCUAUAGAUUUAGAACAAAAUCACACAUCUAUGUUAAUUUAUUUACGAUCAAGAGAAAAAUAUAUACGAAUUUCGUUUAAGAAAAACAAAGACGAGGAGAAUGAUUUUGUAUUAAAUGUAUGUUUUAUUUUAGCUUUCUCCUCCAAUAUUUAUGUAAGUAACAAUGAAAAUGACUUAUGCACUAUUUUAAUUCUAACUACGUUAAGGAUAUCUAUAAUAUUACGAUAAUAAAAUAAUAAUAUUUCUUGUACAGUUAUACCCAUUGCCUUUAAUUGUGAUACUUACAAUAAGUUUUUUUUUUUGUAUACAUAUAUUUUUAUCGAAAAACUUCUUAGGUGAAUCAUAUAUGAUCGAUCAAUUUGGUUUAAUCAUAAUUUUUUUUAAAGUUAGCUCUUUUUGUAUCGCAUGUGUAAUCCGAUUAAGCUCCUAUUCUCUUACUACCGUCAUAUUAAAUUACGACAUUUAAAACAAGAAAUUGUGUAAAGUUUUUCCAUUCACUAUACGUCAAAAUAAAUUAAUUUUUUUUUUAUGCAAGCACUCGAAUUCAGUAGCAUGUAUAUA